CCCCCCAUUAGGGGAUAGAAUGAAAGAAUUUACACAAAACAACCUGUCUCUAUAUUAAACCAAGAAAUUUAUCUCCUGUGAAAAAGCCUGGCUUAAACAAAAAGACAAGAAGACCCUAAAAGCUUAAAAAUUAACUAUUUAAUUAUAAACAGAAUUUUUUAGUUGGGAGGACUACAAAUUAACUAAACAUUUGUUUUAAAAAGACCACGUCUAAUUAAUUUAACCAAAAAAAGAAUAUAAGUAAGCUACUUUAGGGGUAACAGGCUAAUAUUCUUUAAGAGUACACAUUGACAAGAAUGUUUGGCACCUCGAUGUUGGCUUAGGAACCCACUUUUAUGUAGAAGUAAAAUACGGGGGUUUGUUCAACCUUUAAAUUCCUACGUGAUCUGAG
rnacentral:rRNA from 1 species